rnacentral:rRNA from 1 species
GAUCCACAGGCGCUCGAGUGAGUCACGGCCAAGGAACUAGGCAAACUGGCCCCGUAACUUCGGGAGAAGGGGCCCUCGCCCGGGAGGGCGAGGCGCAGAGAAACGGCCCAGGCGACUGUUUAGCAAAAACACAGGGCUGUGCAAACUCGAAAGAUGACGUAUACAGCCUGACACCUGCCCGGUGCCGGAAGGUUAAGAGGAGAUGUCACCGCAAGGGAAGCAUUGAAUUGAAGCCCCGGUAAACGGCGGCCGUAACUAU